UUGCUGAACAUUUUGCUCCAAACUCUCCAAGUCACCCACGUGUUUGUUCUCCCCUUUUGCUGUUCAAUUUACUUCUCCACAUGACGAAGAGAAACACGAGUUGUUCUCAGGCUUUUAGCUGCAAUCCUGGGACCAGCCUUUCAAACUCCCCACUCCUCCCUAGUUAGAGCAGCCCCACCGACCCUCCUCCCAAUGGGGUGAGUGGACAGAUGACUGGGUGCUUUCGCCGGUCAAAUCCCGCAAAACCUUCACCUUCUCUUCUCCACACAGAGCAAACUGAUUUUGCCUGUUUAGUCUCACUAGCCAGGGUGGUAUGGAAGUGGGUGGGGAGAGGGCUGGUGCGCGGCACAGAAAACUGGGAAGCGCGCGCACAACACACGCGCGCGCGCACACACACACACACACACACACACACACGGCCCCACUUAACAUUUAUGCAGUACUUUUGGAGGGUCCCUUACACACACCUGAAUAGAAUACUCUCAGUAAAGGAUAGGCACACCCCUGUUUGUCCUCCCCCAAUUUCCAGACUAGCAUUUGACCCUGGGUCUAGAAUUGGUGGUGAUAAGCCGACUUAGAUGGAGUAUUUGAGAAGAGGGGAGGUGACCCUUUGCUUGAAUGGGGGAGGGGGCGCUCUCCACUCACCGCCUGAGUCCCUGGAACGAGGAGGGCCAGGACAUCCUCGAUUUCUUCAGGCCGGGCCGGUGGCCGGUUUCCACCGCGUAGGAGGUGCGGUCCAUGGCGCGACAGUACAGAGAUUCUGAGUUAUAGUGGACAUAUUAACUCUCUUUUGUGGCUGAAGCUGGAAAAAUAGAUUUGUGAAUUGUCAGUCAAUGGAUGACCAGCUAGGGCAGAAUGGAACAGUCUGAGGAUUGAAUUGGACAAAUUAGAAGGAAUCAGAAAAGGACACUGAAGAAAGCUGAACUCUAACCAUCAACUUGUGAAUCAUGGCUUAGCUGGUCUCAAUGGGGAACAAACCAGAGAGUGUAUGGAUCAACACGAAGCUAUAACUGCUUCAUGAAAAGAACUUUGCAGGGCACCGAUCACCUUCUCUGACAAAUGAAGGCAACUUAUUACUUAAGAGCUACAAGAGGUAGUGAAAGGCCAGUAAACUGUGAUACAGAAGACCUGGAUUCCAAUCCCAAUUCUGUGAUCCUUAAAUUUGUAACCUAUAAUAUAUCAGUUAAACUAUCUGACUUUUAAUGUCCUUAUUAAUUAUUUCAUAUUAAUACUCUCCUAACCUAGCCCUGAAUAUUUAGGGUAUCCAAUAAUAUGUGACUUGGUUGCUCUUGUGUUUUAAGCUUUUAGUACAUAGUUGAUGCUUGCUUAAUAAAAUAUUUGCUGAAUAAAUUGUUAAAA